ACCCGCACCACCAAGCAAUUAAGCUGUCAAGGGCAAACACCUAGCUACUACCAUCCUCUAAUCUCUCCCUAGCAUCCAGCAGCAGAAAACUAGCUGACAAUGUUUCGGCGCACCAAGACCACCAUGGCCGCGCCAGCGCCACCACCUACUGACGGCGAGGUGAGGAUUCAGAAAGUUGACAAGAUCGAGCUCGUCUACAACAUCCUUUCCAAGCCGAAACUGUACAAGGCGACUGCGGGAACCGGGAAGCAUCCUGCCGCUGGACAUGAUCAGGCAUCGGGCUGGAAGAAGACCGAGAACCCCAGCAGGCCUGCCUGCUAGGAGUGUGUUUUCUGUGGAAGACAUCAACAAGAGGUCUGAAACGUACAUCACGGAGAUGAAGAAACGGUUUCUUGGCUAGCUAUAUAUAGCAGCAGCUGAGCCUGUGAUGAUGACAAGAGGUGAAGAUCUGGCAGUCAGUACUGGUGUCAUCCAUGCAUGGAAUUGGUUUGGCUAUAGCCUAUAUGUAUAUAUUUGAUAUUACCAUGUGGAAUGGAAUAUUUGAGAGACUGUGCUCUAGUUAUAUUUGCGUUUAUGUAUGAUAUAUGCAUGUUAUGUACAUUAUAUAUAGAGAGAACAUAACGUUGAGUAACAAGCUUAUUAGUAUGAGUAUGAGUAUACAUGAUGCCUG
rnacentral:lncRNA from 1 species